GCCCUGUGGCCCCUCUCAGAGCAUCGUUGUCUGCUGAAGAGAACUUCUGCUGACGUUCAGAUCCUCCCCCCUCUGAGGGGUUUGCCUGUGCCUUCCUGGGACUGAGAUCCAGAAAUAAGACAUUUCUCCAGAGGGAGCCCGUGCAGCUGAAGCUCAGCAGCAUUUGAUCAGCUGUCUCAGUCUGCUUGGUCCCUGAAAGCACCAUUUCAUGAAACUGCAUCCCUGAGGGAAGAAGAGAGACUUUGGCCUCCAGUGCAGCUUUUGGAGUUUAUAUCCUGUUGAUGGUAUUUCUAAGAGCAACAUGGCAUCAAAGAUGAAGACUUAGAUUACUUGUUCUAUUUUUCUUUCCUACAUGAAGUUAUCUUCCAGAUAAAGCUCCGUUCUUCAGCUUGAAGAAGACCUCUAUGUUUCUUGAACAUUUCAAAUUUAAUUCACAGUAGAGAUAUAUAUUUUAUGGGGCUUAAUAUCAAGAUUUUUAUGAAGUUUUCUCAAGAGAAGUGUUAUUCUUGCAGAAGGAACUGGAGCUAGGAUUAUUUUACUCACAGUGUCAGUGAUUCAUUGCUCAU